rnacentral:rRNA from 1 species
GACGAACGCUGGCGGCGUGCUUAACACAUGCAAGUCGAACGGAAAGGCCCUGCUUUUGUGGGGUGCUCGAGUGGCGAACGGGUGAGUAACACGUGAGUAACCUGCCCUUGACUUUGGGAUAACUUCAGGAAACUGGGGCUAAUACCGGAUAGGAGCUCCUGCUGCAUGGUGGGGGUUGGAAAGUUUCGGCGGUUGGGGAUGGACUCGCGGCUUAUCAGCUUGUUGGUGGGGUAGUGGCUUACCAAGGCUUUGACGGGUAGCCGGCCUGAGAGGGUGACCGGCCACAUUGGGACUGGGAUACGGCCCAGACUCCUACGGGAGGCAGCAGUGGGGAAUAUUGCACAAUGGGCGGACGCCUGAUGCAGCAACGCCGCGUGCGGGAUGACGGCCUUCGGGUUGUAAACCGCUUUCGCCUGUGACGAAGCGUGAGUGACGGUAAUGGGUAAAGAAGCACCGGCUAACUACGUG